GAGGGUAGAACUCAGUGGGAGAGCCCGGGCUUAGCAUGCACAAGGUCCUGGGUUCAAUCCCCAGUACCUUCA
rnacentral:tRNA from 1 species